UUUUGUGGUAGAAACUCCGCACUAGUGGGUGGUUCAGUGUGCUGUUCUGACUGAGAGUUGAUUUAUCUGUCUAAAAACGAUGACAUAGAUACGAAAGCCAUACUAAGUGGAGUUUUAGUGUUGCCUUUUGGAUGGUUCUAGGCAGUUUGUAAAAAAAGUAGUUUAUCAACGUAUCAAAUUAAUCACCGUUUACCAUAGCAACUUUUUCACCCGUAGCAGUAAUACUGAAUCUUAUAUAACUUCGAGACACAAUAAAAGAUAAAUUGCUAUAAGAAUGUUCGCUGUAGUACAACUAACAAAACAAAAAUUCAAGUUGUUGGUUGUCCCCACUUCUUGGAUAAGGAAUGGAGAACUCCUUUGUCCAAAAUUGGUUUCCGAACAAACAUAUGAAGAGCUGAGAAUAAACGGAACAGCCUAUAAGGGAGCUACAAAGCAAAUUCCCGUGAUCGUCAACGAGAGAUACAAAAAGCUCGCAACCGCGGAAGCUGCAGCGGAUGACCUUGCCAUGAAGGAGGUUUCAGACAUCGAUGGCAAAAAGAAAAGGUUGAAACCUGAGAAAAAGCAGAAAGCCGCUGCUGUGAAAGAUUAUAACAAACUUUUUGCUGAAAUUCGUAAUGUCAACAGCUCGACACAAUCAUUGGAACCAGUGAAACAUCGGAUUAUUGAAGAUACCGUAGUGGGUCAGUCACAAUCCUGUAAACCGGCCCGUAGUUCUAAAAGUUCAAGUAGGCGGAAAUAGUUCAAAUCUCCAGAAUUCGGCUCAGGAAAUAAACUGUUGUAAUAAUGGACGUUAGUAUUACUAUCUAUACACAGCGUAUUCAGUUAUCAUUCAAGUUGUGUAACAACAAUUUAGUUAUGAGUGAAAUUUUUACGACACAGUUAGAACAAACAACAGUUAUAGAAGAGAUGGAGUUAAAUCAGACACAAUGUGAGAAUUCCGCAGUUGCUGAAUCGCAAAAUAUACAUUAUUCAAUUCAUUCAUAUCCGUCGAUCAAACCAGAUUCUGUGUAUGUAACUGAUGUUGGUUUGAUUCACUUGACUGACCCACACGAAUUAUCAGGUAUAAGUGUUUUACUAAUUCCUAAACGAUAGGUUUAUGAUGUAUUUUUUUUUUAAUUUUAAGUUUUCAAUUUCAUAUUUUCAAAUUAAACUUUUAAAUUCAAGCUUUAAAUAAUAUAUUUUAAAAUUACAAUUUAACCUUCUUAAAUCUUUAAUUUAUAAACAUGCAAGAUAGCAAUUCAAAGAAAAAUUGUGAAUUCAAAUCAGAAAUUAAAAAUUGCAAAUAGAAAAACUAUGAAAUCAGACAUCAGAAAUUAAAAAUUUAAAUUAAUCGGUCAAGCUCGCAUUCAAUAUGAAAUUUAAAUUUAAAAAAAAAAUAAAAUUUGAAAUUAAUUUUUUUGUUAAUUAAUCUUUAAAUUUUGAAUUUCAUAUUUUCAAA